AAAUAGAGAAAAUAGAGUCAAAGCUAUGCCUUGAGGAGUAAGCUACAGCUCAGUUUGAGAGAGUGGCAAAAUAAGACUGAAGAAGACUUACUAAGUGAAAAAUGUGAACUCCUGGCAAAUAAGCUUUACACUCUGCAAGUAAGUUAACUAUCAGCUAUAGCCCAUCACACUUUGUGAAAUGUAAGCAGUUUGUUUGUGUUUUGAUCCAGGACUUCUACUCUUUGCCAAAAUGCUUUAAAAUCAGUAAUAACUUUCUUAACUAAUUUGUUUUCUUGCUUGUGUGCACUGAAUAAUGCUCUGACUAGACUUCUGGCUGUGUGCCAUUCAGACACAGAGACUGAAAUAAAUGAUCUUAAUAAUUUCACCAAGUAUCUUAUGUUGCAGCAUGAUUGAAAACACUGGAAGUAGAUUAAUGAAAAUUUUAUCUAGCUGUUUUAAAAAAUAAUGGCAACAUAAACUAAGUAAAAUGAAGGUUCCCUCUUAGAAAUCUAUAUUAACUCAACCUAUAUUACAUCCACUUGCCCAUUGCUGUUCUUAACAAGAUAACCAAUUGUCCAUAGCUAUUUCUCCUGUUAGAAUUAGUGGCAUCCAUAUACAAAUCUUGUUCACAAUCAGAGAUAUAAGGGUAAAAUGUAAUUCUUGAUCUGAUAGCUUUGUGUUGCUCUAUAGUCUGGCUAGUAGGAAUAAUAGCAGUUUGAUCUGUACCAAGUCAAAUUUUAAAGCAUACUAUACUUUUUUUGGCAACUGAACGUGAAUGCAACUGUGAAUCCCAUGUGUAUCUUCAUAUACAACUGGCCCAUUACGUAUUAAUAACACGAGAUAGAAAGCCUGGCAUUACCUAAAUUUUACACGAUUUGUGCUGAAGUGAAAUGUAGACCGUUGUCCCAAAAGACUUAUGCAGUCACCAAGAAUUCCUGAAAUCCUGCAGCUAUAGUGUAGGCACAACUUUUAAAUUCAGAAUGUGACCAAAGGAAUACAGGAUGAAAAUACUAAUUUAACAUGUGCAAAAUAUAUUGAAAUGUCAAAAAAGAUGAAAAUCAAAGGCUCAGAUAGUCCUUACUCUCCUUGAUCUCUUAUUUCUUGUGCAUUUGUUUGUGGGUUUUUAAUACUUUUGCUUCAGUUACCAGUGUAACUUUGUUUAAACUCAUCCAUCCUUUUUUACUUUGCUUAGUAAAUCACAAGCAACAUAAUAGCCUAACUCUCUCUCAUUUAGUUUGGCUUGACAUUAGUGACUUCAUAACAAAUGCAAGAGGUACCAAGCAGAGAAAGCUAAGUCAAGGCGAUGCCCAGUCAUUUGUUACUGCUUUAAACUGCAUGUUGUAUUAGUAUUUACAUCCAGACAAAAUUAAUUACUAUUUUGUUUUGGUAAUUUGCUGUAUUCACCUUUACUGAUGCAAAUAGUGGUAGCUUUGGAAGAUCACAAAAUCACAGAAAUAUUCCAGUUGAGAGGGACCAUAAAGAGGUCUGCAGAGCUGACUUCUGCACAAAGCAAGGUCUACACUGAAUUCAGGCCAGGUUGCUCAAUGCCACAGCCUCUCUAUUUUACCAGGUCCAAUCAUGAAUUAUCCUCAAAGAGACAACUUUUCCUUAUACCUAGUUAGAAUUUGCCCUGUUUCAAUUUAUUAUCAUUGUUUCUCAUUCUGCUGCUCUUCAGCUCAGCUCUGCUCUGUCUUCACAGUAAUCUCCUUGUGGGCAUUGGAAGGCUGCUAUUAAAAGUUGUCUCUUUUCCAGACUGAACCAUCUCAUUUCCCUCAGCCUCUCCACAGAGGGCAAAUGCUCCAGUCCCCAACCAUCUUGGUGGCUUUUUACUAAACUUACUGCUGUUUACCAGUGGCUUUCUUUUGUGAAGGCUCGUAAGUGGAUGAUCUGUUCCAGGUAUGAUCUAAUGAGAGUUGACUAAAGGAGCAUAAUCAAUUUCUGUAACUGUACUCUUACUGAUACAGCCCCUUAUGUGAUUAGACUUCAGAUGACAAGAAGUAUAAACCUCUUUCUCAAGGCUAAGUUUAGGUGAGUUGCCUACAUGCUGUUACAUCAUGUGGAAUGCUGCUUGUGCAUAUACCUGUUCUCUGGAUAACCAGAAGGCAUAAAAACUCUCCGUGACACUAUAUUCCUUUUUUUUUUCUUUUUAGUAAGAGUAAGUGCAAAUCUUUUCAAAACUUAUAUUCUGAGAAGUAGCACUAAUGUACCGAAAUUAGUUAUGCUAUAGAGCAUUCUCUAUUUUUUUUAUUUAUUUUUUCUAAUUAAAGCCUUAGUUUUUCAGAUAUGCUAUGAUACAAGUCAUUAAUAGAUAUAGACCUCACUCUGCUUGGCAAGGUUCAGAGUGUAAAGCUUAUUAACUGUAUUUUACACCUACAGUCUUGAAGCUUUGGCAGACAGUUUACAAUGGGGAGAUCCAAAGGUAAGUAAAAUUUCUGGCAUUAGACUAGAGCGUAGUGCUUAAAGCUCAGAUCCACCAGCAAGCUGAAACAUGGUCUAUGAAGGAUAACUUUGUUGUUUUUUCUCACAAUGUCCCAUAGAGCACAUGCCAACACAUACAGAGCCAAAUUCUGCUGUCAACCAUAUCAAAGUAAAUCCAGAAGUAUUUCAAUGCAGUUCAUUGAAUUACGUCACAUUCAUGUUUAUGUUCAGAAGAAAAAUGCUCCUUCUAAAACAAGCUGGUCACAAGUUGUUAGGAAUACAGCACUCUCAAAGCCUGGAGAUGUAUCAAAAAGUUGUAUCUUGCAGAGAGCUUUAAGAGGUCCCGGAGCCUAGACUGUAGAUUAUCAAGUUGCUGUCUGUGAGGUAAAGCAGAACAAUUAUCUUCAUUCAGAAAUGUAGCCAAUCUUGGCUGUAAGAUGAUACAUCAGAGCUCAUGCCUCUUAUAUAGGAUCUGACAUGUUAGGGGUUGGCUGUGAGCAUUUGUAGACAGAUACCAACAGCCCCAGACCCAAUUUUAUUAUGCAUUAUCUUCUUAUACCAUAACAACCUGAACAUGUCCCUGAGCUCUAAAUUUUCUCUUUUCUCUGGAGAUACAUUGUUUCAACCAAGAAUGUUCUAUUUUCAUAGAAUAAAAUCAUAGAAUAACAUGAGUUUGAAGGGAAUCAUAAGGUUCACCAAGUCUAGCUCCUGGCUCCAUAAAGAACCACCCAAAAAAUCAGAUUCUAUGUCUGACAGCACUAUCCAGAUGUUUCUUGAACUCUGGCAAGCUAGGUGUUGUGACUGUUUCCCUGGGGAGGCUAUUCCAGUGCCUGACCACCCUCUUGGUGGAUAACCUUUUCCUGAUUUCUUGCAUGCUAGCUGUAAAAUGUGGAGUAGAAGAAAUGCUGUUAAAUUCAUCACCCGGAGAAAGAAAUAACCCUGUGUUUCUGGAUGGAUGAGGAUGAGGAACACUGGAUUCAGCUGAGUGUUGCUGGCUUUCCUCUCCAGAUUCAUUCUUUUUUUCUGUGCAGAUCUGGCCCAUCAGUAUUCAGGUCACCUCCAUGACUGCCAUUUCACCACUCAAGACUCCAGCCUCUGUGCUGAUCUACUGCACUCCUAGAAGUUCUUGUGUAUCCUUGCAGUAUUGGCUUCCCAUUUUCUUUUCCUCUUGACACGAGGAAGUUGUGAGGCCUACCACACUGAUUCCCUCACCCCAAGACAUCCACUAUCCACUAUCAUAUAUACAACACACACAGAAAUCUGGCCAAUUGUAACACCACGUCUUCUGAUGGUGAGGUUUAGCAGUAUACUGUCACUAUGAUUGUCAUGAAAGUUUCACACCUGCAGAGGAGGACAGCUGAGGAAUCAUAGACAGAUGAGAAGACAAGGGUGGCAGAAAGAAGCAAACUACUGCACUACUGUUCACAGACACUUUGCACUUAUUCCACUUUGUCCCAAAUACCAUUCACUGACUUGCAACAACCCAGGUGGCAAACACUGGAAUCUUUUCCCCAGGGGCAUCCAAGCCUACACUGCCUACAUAACGCACUCAUCACCAAACUGCAGGCUGGGUUGGGCUGGGGAAUGGGAGGACUCUCCAAAACACUAAUGAACUGCUCCUAAGCAGCCAAGAAUGAAAAAUUCACAAUCCACUCCAGCUGCUGAUGAGGAUUGGAGUUUGGUUCCAGCCUCAGUCCCUUAAACUUCAUCUGCAUCUGAUAUUGAAUAUUCAAGUCUAUCAUCAAACGAGUGAGCAGGAACCAGAGCCCAGGGCUCUCUCUUAGACAAGUGGCCUAUCCACCAGCCUACAGAAACAGGCAUGACACUUCCUCUCUAUUUACAUUGCUCUCUAUCCAGUAGAAAGACCUCAACAGAAAGGGCAGAGAAAGUGUAUACAAAGCAGAGAAUCUAGUUCUAAACAGAGCCAGUAAAGGCAGUUGCAUAAGUUUUCAAAGCCUAGACUUAAGAAGUCUAGGAGAUUUUCCUCCAAAAUGGAGGCAGUGAAUCACUGAGGUAACAUUUGUACUGAAUAAUCCUGGCAGACAGGCUGAGAAGAAAGGAGAUAGAAGUUUUUGCAGAAAAGGUGCUUCAGAACAGACAGCUAAUCUAACACUGUAAGCCUUGGUCUUCUUACUCUGAAGUAUGAAACAAAUCAUAAGUAAGAACCAAGCAGUAGGAAAGUAUGCAGGAUGAGCAAAUUAAUUUGUAUCUGAUUUAAUUACAAUUUGAUGUCUCAGAUCUUUUAACUAAAAGACAGACUUCAAAGUUUUUCUGAAUAAAGCUCUGUUCUGUUUGUCUACUCACUGUGAGACAGUGUAGGGCAAAGAUGAACAAGACAGAAAGAAACAUAACCAAAGCUGCCUCUCUGCUCAGACACUAUGAAUCAGGCACCCAGAAGUACCAGCAUCUCAGUCUUAGCAAACUCAAGCCUUGUGGAGCAUGUCCUACCAGACUGACAAGCACCACAGGGUUGGAGCGUGUAUCAUUGUACCUUGAACUCUUUGGCUUCCUUCAGCAGUUACCUUCUUGCAAGGGAUAACUGGAAGAGAUAUACCACAAUAUCUUAAUACUGAGGUCUUGUAUUUUUUGCAGUGCACUAACCACUGGGUUUUCACACAAGAGUAGUCACCACAGUUUCAUAUACGUUUGGGAUCCAUCUGUGACUGCUUUUGGCCCACCAGGCCUAUGCUUCAUCUCAUCACCAAAAGAACUUCCUAUCUUAUGAUUAACACAGGUCAGAUGCUAAAGCAUGAAUAACUUCGAGAAUCUAAGCUUUAAAAGUAUAACUCAUCUUCAUGAGAAGGACAACCAGAAACAACAGUUAGAAAUUAGUAAAACAAGAGAAAUGAAUUUCAUCAAGAAAAGAAAAAAGGAAUAGAUUUUACUAUCACUAUGUAAAAUAACCCAAUAUGGAUACAUUCCUUUGUAGUAUAACUCACCUUGGAGAUACUGUUCAGUUAAUCUUAUUGAAUGACUCAGUACUCCUGACCAAGCUGACAUUUUUGUCAGUUCUCAUAGUCACAGAACUACAAGCAGUACAGUAUUUACAGCUGUAUCACAUUGAGCUGGUUUCUCAGUUCUUCUCACUGACAAAUCUAUCAGCAACAAGGAAAAUUUAAAAAGAAAAGGCUGCUGUAGGAGGGGAUGUUGUUGAUAACUUCUCAUUUGAGCAAAGGUGUUGAAUUGGCCUGGAGACUACAAGAAGCAGCAUUAGGGAAACUGCUUGACUUCUUAGGACAGCAGAAGCUGCACACUUAGCUGCUUGCACUAAAGAUUCCAUGCACUAGCUUCUCACUGGGUAUCCAGUGGAUGCCACAACUUGUGUGGCUGGAAGGAAGUACCAGUGGAGCAAAAGGAAUAGGACCAUCCUUCAAGUGACAACAAUCAGUGAUAAGUAGACACAGCUCAUUCAGAUAAACACCCCCCCUUAACACUUCCCACAGAAAUACCUAAAUAAAGUUCAUAGGAACAUACAACAGACCCCCAGACUUCAUUCUACCCUAUGGGAGACAAAAUUCAAGAAAAAAACCCUCAAUAUAUUCAAGAUGAAAUAAAAUCACCUCUUAACAAUGGCACAGUUAAGUGCAGUUGUCUUGGCUGGCUAGAAGUAACCCUAUGAAUUAGAUAAGGGGACAUUUACACUGUAAAAGCCUCUAUUCAGUACAAAAGAAUGCAACAGCAAGCUUCUGUCUGAAGCCAAAAAACUUUGUGUAAAGCUUUUUUGAAUACGAAGAGUCCUGUGUUACAAAUGGGAUCUGCAGAAUGCAGUUCACAAGUGUCUUAAAUUCUUGAGGUAUCCGAAAGAUCACUCUACACAGCAGCAGUUCUACAGCAUAAAUAAGAGUCUGUACUGAACUGGGAAACCAUCAGGAUGACUCAGCGCUCAUGUCAUUCUAUACUAGAUGUGCUAUCUCCUGGAGAAGAUAAAACCUUUUCAGGUAAACCCACCAAGGCUUGUCUCAAAUAACCUUUUUUUUUUUUCCUUAUGUCUUUUAGAAACUUGACCUCCAUCUGUUCCUGAACGAACAAAAGUCUUGCAGAACCGAGUAGAAAAUUUAGAUUACACUGUAGGCACAGUUACCACAUAAAACCCUGCUGAAGACUGUUCCACACUUGUAACAGCUCAAAAGAAAAAAAAAAUGGUUGCAAAAUGAAAGGGAUAGCAAAGUCAAUGCUUCUUAUCCACAGCAAAUCAAAUUUAGGAAUGAAAUGCAGCAGAAAAUAUCCCAGUGAUCCACGAGAAUUAAAAGUCCUGCACACUGAUUCACACAAAAAAAUGUGAUGAAGGAUGCUACUCAAAGUUUGGUGCUCAAGCAAGAAGGUGACAGUCACUGUACCUGUGGGCAAGAGAACACAUCAACGGAGCCUUCCCAAAGGUCAGCCAAAGAGAUGGAUUUUGACACAGAUUUCCAAUACUCUGCAGGAAAAUGAAUAACGGACACACGUGAGAAUACUGCAAUAUCCUUCCUGCAUUUUCCAAGUUGUACUACAAAUGAGAUAAUAGACAGAAUGUUUUAGUGUUUUUAAAUGGAAAAAGAUAAUCCAUUAUAGUGCAAACAAUUCUGGUAAGUAAUAAAAAUAUUUUUCACAGAAAUGUAAGUGAUAUUAAAGGUAUGCCACUGAAAAACAAAGAUGACAAAUUAAAACUGCAGUGUUCACACAGA